UACGUAGGGGCCUAGCGUUGUCCGGAAUUAUUGGGCGUAAAGAGCUCGUAGGCGGCUUGUCGCGUCGUUCGUGAAAACCUGCAGCUCAACUGCAGGCUUGCGGUCGAUACGGGCAGGCUAGAGUUCGGUAGGGGAGACUGGAAUUCCUGGUGUAGCGGUGAAAUGCGCAGAUAUCAGGAGGAACACCGGUGGCGAAGGCGGGUCUCUGGGCCGAUACUGACGCUGAAACGCGAAGGCGUGGGGAGCGAACGGG
rnacentral:rRNA from 1 species